AUAGAAAAAAACAGUAUGCUAUACACUUCCAACAAUAAAUUUGCUCCAAACGGUAAGGUUGAUGUAUCACAAACUGUUGCUAUUAUGUUCAACCAUUUGAAUUCCAAAGCUAUCCACCAUAAAUUACAGUAUUGAUAACCCAAACCAAACAUUAACAGUAUAACAUAAUGUGCUGACAUUGUUAAACGAUAAAAAGAUGCAAACACGAAUCGCAUGGUAGAAUUGUGGGAUCACAUUAUAUCAAAUGGUAAGUUUUUAUAUUUCCUCGACACACUCACACCAGUAUAUUUCACUAUUAAUAACAUUUGUUAAACAGCAUGGCAAAUAGUUUAACGUAUUUGUAUCUGUGAACGAUUUUAUUCAAAUAUAAAAUGCAUCGUUCUUUGCAAGCUUCAAUGAGCUUCUUCAUUUCUCGAGUAAUAUUUCAUACAGACUUAUCUCAAGAACGAAAAUUUUGAGGAAAUGCAUAUAUGAUACGAUUGUAUUUUCUUGGCUUUUAUUAAACUUAGAUUUCGAUUGGCUGUUUUCGUACAUUAUUUAUAUGGAAUGCGUUGAAAUCAGGGUUGAAAUUUGCAUAAAUUCAUAAAUGAAUGAAUAAAUGGAAUAUUUCAAACAAUCAGAUAAUCAUGACUUACGUGAUUAUUUACGCUGUUUAGUGAAUACCCCUAUUAUGUUUUCAACGACCUGGCCUGUUUGUAUAUAGUACCGUGUAAGAGGAUCACCAAUAAACUACGUUGCGCUUAGAAGGGGGGGGGGAGGGGUAAUUUUAGAAGUGUGACACGCAAGGCAAGGGGGAAGGGGGUUUGGAAAUUAUAUUUUUUCAACGUGACGUAUCUAAUGGAUGCUCCGUCAUGUGAAUUAAAACAAAAAAAAAUCUUUUUUUUUUCAGAACUAAAAAUUAAAUCAAGUUUUGAUUACAUAUUGAGCUUAGGACAUUUUCAAAUGUAACGCUUGUUUAUCGCGGAGUGUGAGCGUUGGACAAAAACAGUAACAAAGUGUCACCGUCAUCGCGGGAAAUCCUUGCUGAAACCGGUGAAACCCGACUUCCAGUGACCCGGGCCAAUGGGCCCAAUUGAGAUAAACCAGCCUCGGACCGAAGGACCGGGACAACUGGGAUGCCAGAAGAUACACAAAACGUCGGCUAGAUGGAAAUUCCGUGCAAACAACUGCUGGGGGCGAAUCCCUGAACUGCUCUAUCCGGGAACCGAGUCGGGACCUUCCGUUGCAUCAAUCUAUGUAUCAGAAAUGACAGCAGCAGGAAGCCCCAGCGGCAGCUGGAUCCAAAGCAGGCUCUGUUUGCGGGAGACGGCUCAUGAUACCACCUGAAUGAAUAGCCAUCUUACGGACCGAUUCAUUGUACAGUCCGUGUGCGGCCAUGUCGUCACAUCCAAGGCCCAGCGGGAUUCCGGAAGCCGUGUUGUUUUUAUUUAUUUUAAGUUUUCGCUACUUUGUUCCUGUUCAAUAAAAUAUACAAAACUCAUACUCAA